UCCUCCGUAGUAUAGUGGUCAGUAUCCCCGCCUGUCACGCGGGAGACCGGGUUCGAUUCAGGCAGGAA